UAGCUUAGAGGUUAAGAGCACUGGGCUGUUCUUCCAGAGGUCCUGAGUUCAAUUCCCAG
rnacentral:tRNA from 1 species